rnacentral:rRNA from 1 species
UACGUAGGGUCCGAGCGUUGUCCGGAAUUACUGGGCGUAAAGAGCUCGUAGGUGGUUUGUCGCGUUGUUUCGUGAAAACUCACAGCUUAACUGUGGGCGUGCGGGCGAUACGGGCAGACUUGAGUACUGCAGGGGAGACUGGAAUUCCUGGUGUAGCGGUGGAAUGCGUAGAUAUCGGGAGGAACACCAGUGGCGAAGGCGGCUUUCUGGCCUGCUCUUGACGCUGAGGCGCGAAAGCUAGGGUAGCAAACGGG